rnacentral:pre_miRNA from 7 species
UUCUUGGUGUAUUUGAAUGUAUAGUGACAGGCAGGGACAGAUUACAUGAAAGACCCCCGAGGGGGGACCCUCACUCAAGUCUCGGGAUAGAUGCGGACCCCCAAGAACACACAAGAGACC